GACGAACGCUGGCGGCGUGCUUAACACAUGCAAGUCGAACGGAAAGGCCCUGCUUUUGUGGGGUGCUCGAGUGGCGAACGGGUGAGUAACACGUGAGUAACCUGCCCUUGACUUUGGGAUAACUUCAGGAAACUGGGGCUAAUACCGGAUAGGAGCUCCUGCUGCAUGGUGGGGGUUGGAAAGUUUCGGCGGUUGGGGAUGGACUCGCGGCUUAUCAGCUUGUUGGUGGGGUAGUGGCUUACCAAGGCUUUGACGGGUAGCCGGCCUGGGCGGGUGACCGGCCCCAUUGGGCCUGGGAUACGGCCCGGACUCCUACGGGAGGCAGCAGUGGGGAUUAUUGCCCAAUGGGCGGAAGCCUGAUGCAGCAACGCCGCGUGCGGGAUGACGGCCUUCGGGUUGUAACCCGCUUUCGCCUGUGACGAAGCGUGAGUGACGGUAAUGGGUAAAGAAGCACCGGCUAACUACGUG
rnacentral:rRNA from 1 species